AAUGUUGGGCAGAUGUAGGCAUUUCUGCGGCCCGUACUGCGGCCGCAGAACCACUAUUGCAAAUAGUGAUCCUUAGAAUUUUUCAAAUGGAGGUUUGGACUCAUUGGAUUUAACACUGCCUGUGGAGUUGAAGGAAAAUGUUGGGCAGAAGUAGAAGCACUAUGCGAACUGCAUAAUGGUCGAUGAGUGAGGCUGUUUUCUGGGGUGUUUUUGAUGUCGAUUUCGUGGCCAAUUAUGCGACCGCAUAUACGUUUCGCGGGCCGCACUUUGGCUGCAUAGACAUCCUUGGACUUUUGCAAAUGGAGGUUUGGACUUUUUGGAUUGAAUAGCGCCUUAGGAAUUGAAGGAAAACGUUGGGUAGAAGUAGAAGCACUAUGAGGACCGCAUAAUGGUCGCUGAGUGAGUCAGUUUUCUGGGGCAUUUUUUAUGUCGAUUUCGCGGCCAAUUAUGCGGCUGCAUAACCAUUUUGCGGGCUGCACUUUGGUCGCAUAGUCAUCCAUACACUUUUGCAUAGAGAGGUUCGGACUUUUUAGAUUGAACAUUGCCUGGGGAGAUGAAGGAAAAUGUUUGGCAGAAGUAGGCAUUUCUACAACACGUUCUGUGGUCGUGAAACUAGUCUGUGGACUGCAGAAUGGUCGCAGAGUGAGGUAGUUUUUUGGGGCAUUUUUGAUGCGAUUUCGCGGCCAAUUAUGUGACCGCAUAACCCUUUCGCGUGCUGCACUUUGGUCGCAUAGUCAUCCUUAGAGUCUUGCGAAGGGAGGUUCGGACUUUUUGGAUUGAACAGUGCCUGGGGAGUUGAAGGAAAAUGUUGGGCAGAAGAAGAAGCACUAUGAGGACCGCAGAAUGGUCGCUGAGUGAGGAAGUUUUCUCGAGCAUUUUUUAUGUCGAUUCCGCUACCAAUUAUAAGACCUCAUAAGCAUUUUGCGGGCCGCACUUUGGUUGCAUAGUCAUCCUUAGACUUUUGCGAUGGAAGGUUCGGACCUAUUUGAUUGAACAGUGCCUGGGGAAUUGAAGGAAAAUGUUGAGCAGAAGUAGGCAUUUGUGCGACACGUACUGCAGCCGCAGAACCACUAUUGCAAAUAGUUAUCCUUAGACUUUUGCAAAUAGAGGUUCGGACUUUUUGGAUUUAACACUGCUUGUGGAGUUGAAGGAAAAUGUUGGGCAGAAGUAGACGCACUAUGCGAACCGCAUAAUGGUC
rnacentral:lncRNA from 1 species